rnacentral:rRNA from 1 species
AGCGAACGCUGGCGGCAGGCCUAACACAUGCAAGUCGAACGGACCCUUCGGGGUUAGUGGCGGACGGGUGAGUAACACGUGGGAACGUGCCUUUAGGUUAGGAAUAGCUCCUGGAAACGGGUGGUAAUGCCGAAUGUGCCCUUCGGGGGAAAGAUUUAUCGCCUUUAGAGCGGCCCGCGUCUGAUUAGCUAGUUGGUGAGGUAACGGCUCACCAAGGCGACGAUCAGUAGCUGGUCUGAGAGGAUGACCAGCCACACUGGGACUGAGACACGGCCCAGACUUCUACGGGAGGCAGCAGUGGGGAAUCUUGCGCAAUGGGCGAAAGCCUGACGCAGCCAUGCCGCGUGAAUGAUGAAGGUCUUAGGAUUGUAAAAUUCUUUCACCGGGGACGAUAAUGACGGUACCCGGAGAAGAAGCCCCGGCUAACUUCGUGCCAGCCGCCGCCGUAA